GGGAACAUCAUCAUGCUCCCUCCAUAUUCAGCUCUCUUCACUGUAAACUUUUCCUCGCUCAAAUUCCCUCCCUCCGCUUCCCAAACCGAAGAUCGAAGAAGAUAUCCCCGAAAUUUAACUUAAUUCUGAAACAAACAACAAAUCCCUCAAUUUCAACCUAAUUCUAACUCAAUCGGAUCCAUGAAAUUAGUAAUUUCAAAACCCUAGAUUAAAGAUCUACAGCCAAAGUCCCAUAGUUUUUCUUCUUUACGUUGCAGGAUCGCUCUCUUGAUCGUGGCACUCUUGUAACUCAUCAAUCACCACCGGAUUUUGAAGCCUGUAAAGCAUUGAGUUAGGUUGGGGGUUUUGUGUGAUUUGCAGCAGGGUAGAUAAUUGUUUCUCCGUCAAUUCAUGCUUAUGGAAGGUGACAGUGAUUGAUGUCUUCAUCAUUUAACCAUGAAGUAUUAAAAUAUCAGGAAAAAGAGACUGGAUGAAGUUUGUCCUGAAAGGUUUCAGCAAUGCAGUCGAACCUAUAUGCAAUCUUGGAUCAUACAAGGGGAGGGCACAAGUUAGAAGCAGCAAUUGAACUGCUAAAUGUUAAUGUUGCUGGAAAAGUAACUCUAGAUGCAGGGUUGACGACUGGGGGAUUCACUGAUUGCUUGCUCCAAUAUCGCGCCCCAUUUGUUUACGGAGUAGAUGUAGGAUAUGGAUAGGUGGUAGAAAAAGUCCAUCGAGAUGAACAUGUCUCUGACUCUGUUAUAGAGAGAUCAAAUUUGAGAUAUCUUACUGAACUCCCACAAAAAGUGAAGGUAGACUUGGUGACUUUCGACCUCUCGUUCAUCUCCAUACUCCUAGUAUGGUUUAAAAUGAUAUCAUACAAUUGCUUGUUGAUUUAUAACUUAGAAGUGCAAACCCAUGAAAUGAGUAUUUAUUCCUCCAUCCCUGUCCCAGUACUAUUUAUUGUUAUUCUACUUUUUAGAGCAAACACAUGCUUAGAGCUUAAUGUCUGUAUAUAAUGUAGUGUUAAAAAUACAAGUUAAUUUGUGAUCAUUAUUCUAGAAUAAUCUUGAAGUCCCCUGUACUAGGUAAAGCCCAGUACAUUCUAGAGUUUAUGGGCCUCUAGAGUUUUCCUUUUAAUCACGUGUAAUCUAGAGGAAUUUUUUCUCUAGAAUUCUCUUAAGGCAUAGUCGAUCAUAGUCCCUAGAAUUUUCAUUUCUAGAGUUUUCUUCAUAGUCACUCACUAGGCCUAUAAAUAGGCACUCCAUGAUUUCAUUUUGAUCAUCAAAAAACUCAAGUGAGUAGACAAGAGUUAGAGUGAGAGCUAGAGUUAGAGUAAGAGCCAAAGUGUCUCUUUGUAAAAAACAUAGUGAGCCAAAGUGCUACACUAAA